GGUGCCUCACCCUGUAUAUUUUCUAUUUAACUAAAACGGCAUUUUUUCUUAAACCAUGAGUUUCAAAAAUACGGUGUGUAAUUUUGAAUGGACCUUCAUUAAAAAAAGAGAUAUGAUGUGCCGGUAACGUGAUCUGUGCCAUUAAACGCAGAAGGGUUAACGGCUGUCUCAUUAUCGCGAUCGUAUUGUCCAUUCCAUUCUGAAUCUUUGCAUCCUAGUUUCAUCCUUCUUUUCGCUUAGAUCACAUCUCCACAAGACAAUGAACGCAACGAGGUGCAUUGCGCUUGCAAUUAAAGCUUGCUUCUCGACGGAACCCUCGGCAGAACCUCGAUGAAAGAAGAUUUGAGCAUUUGUCAUCUUAAGUAUGAAAGAAAAAAUAUAUUACAUACAUUAAAUUCACGAACAUUAAAUACAUUUUUAAAAAACGAAAAAAGUGUCUAUUACUUUAUUAUCUUUAUCCAGAUAUUCAGUACAUGAUUUUAGAAACACUGUUCCAUUUUAUAUAAUACUCUAUGAAUUAUUUUCCAUAGUUCAUUUAAUAAGUUACAAUUAAUAAUUUCUGUAACAAUGACUCUAAAAUGAUUGUUUCGAGCAGAACAAUGAGUAACUCGCUACCUUGUGACAGUAAUUUAAUGUCAAUCUUUUGCUGAUUAAAAACAGAGAAUGAAGUGCAACCAGGAUUAAAAAGGGUCAAGCACGAUGAUAUUCUCAUGAGAGCGCUUCCAGUGGGACAUGAACAUCAGACCAAAAGGUUGAAGAAAAAAGUAAAAGAAGCUGGAAGCUGGAAGGAUGAAGCAAGAAGACGAUCAACUGACAAUCAAGUUAGGCGGAAUGUGGGACAUCGAACUCUUCUCGACUGCCUACUACUAUUCUUCUCCCUUGCCCUUCCCUUCCCCGCAGUGCUAACAUCCUCCUUCCUCGUCCAUUCUCAUCGGAUCGGACCACUGACAGGCGCGUAGGUGUCGCGGGGGUUGGAAAUACACUCUAUGUCAUCACCAGGGUGACUUUAGAUAAUUUUACACCGUGUCACCGUGCGCGCAUAGAGACUUUUUAUACGUUCACAUCGCGCCUCUAUUUCUACAACCCUUCUGCCGCCAAAGGCCGGUUAACGAGAUUACUCCACAGAGCAGAAUUAAGGGGGGCCAGAAGCCUUUGAAAAGCGAAAAACUGACGUAUUCUACAAAUCUGGGUUGGAAAGGAAUCGAGAAAAAAGGAUACCCUGUAAAUUGAUAUAACUCCGGUGUGCAACGAGUAGGACAUAUCCAUCCUAGCUACGAGCUCAUCCAACUUCCUCGUCGAACUUACGUUAAAGGUCGAAAGUCACUACGUACGCGGGAUAACGUACGGUAGGUAGGUAUGCCAUGUAUGCGUUGUAUCUAGCUAUACUAGUUAGCUUAAACGUAACGUCGUUUCAGAGGAAUGCCAAUGACAUCAACGAUGCUAUUGGCAUCGAUGGUAUUUCAAUCCGCUCAUCGUAUUCGGUUAUCGCCAUUCGGAAUACAAGUGAAAAAUCGCGAUCACCGUUAAUGUUGCACGAUUAAAUGUCAGAGGCGUGAUAAUUAUCGGCCUAGAUAUAUUAUUCAUGUCAUUUACAUGGCAACUUAUAACGCAAAAAUAUUUUUAUUAUCUAAUAAUUCUUGUUAAAUUAAUCAUAAAUUAAAACUUUAGAACUACAAAAAUGUAUGGGCAAUCUUAUCUUAUCUACAACGUUAUUCAUAUGAUGCAUAUCAUCCGAUUAGGUAAUAGGUAUUUAUUUGCAAUCACUUAACAACAAUACUAAUAUCUGCUAUUUCGGGUUUUGAUCCAAAAUGCAAGCUAGAAUUCGUUUUGCAACGUAUUUUUCUGCUUUUCUCGUGAACGAUAACACGAAACAAAGUUACUCAGAUAAUCAUGUUAAAAGACGCAAAUCGAAUGGAACAUUACUCCGGAGUAAACCCAUAUAUCUCUAGAUAUCCGUUUGUCGACUCUAUCGGGAUGAUAGCAAAACGAGUUUUCGUUCUUGCCGGGGAAAGUUUCGCGAGUUUCCUUCGAACUGACGCAAUUUCGUCUCGCCACUUUGCGCUUUUUCAUCCGGCUCGACGACGAUCGAUUUUUCCAGAUAUAGCUUCCACACGGGGCGACGAUGACGACGACGAAAACAACGUCGUUGGCCUGCGGCUUUCGUCAUUCGUCGUCGGGUAGCCCGCCAUAGCGUCGCAUCUGCACGGUUAUAUUAUAUAGGGAUGGAAAAUUCUAAUCGAAUCACACGAUUGGUCUGUCAAAGCGCGGUCUGAGCGAUAACGUCACGUCCGUAUCGGCCAAUAAAGAUCGACCUAGAAUCAUGCGCACCACCAUAAACGUGCCAUGGGCUUCCCAUGGCUAAAAACGUCAGCUGCCACAGGAGACUGCACGAGGGAUAAUUCGAUAUCGUGGGCAGAUCGAUUGUCGGCCAGCUCUCCCUUUCGUGCUCUUCGGCCGCGACUACUUGCGAGUGACGGAUUCAUUUACCCCUGCGAAUUUUGUCCUUUAAUAAACUGUCGGCAAUUUGAAGUUACAAAUUGCUCAAUUUCAUUGAAAAUUAUAAGGUAUCUGAAUUAUAUUUAAUUUGCGCAAUUAAUUUAUUUAGAAUCCAUUAUUUCUUCUGAUAAGGAGAAUUUAUUCGAUUAUUCAAUCGUUGUAGAGUGCAAUUGAUUCUUCUUCAUUUUUCGAUUUUGGUUGAAUGUACUGUUACGCAACCCUUUGUAACCUUGCCUUUUUAAAAUUCAUUAAAUUUAUCUCUCGAUACUUUGUUUCUCCGCAAGAUACAUAGAUAAUUUAUUUAAGAGGGCAUAUAUGUGCUAUGUGCAUGUUAUGCACAUAUGUGUAGACGUCGCACGUGUUUACGAGAUAAGUGCUGAGCGAAAGAAUUACGAUUUAAUGGAACCUGCGGAAAGCUCCGGCCGCAAAAAUACAUCCCACUGAGCAGAGGGCGAGGAAGAACGUCCAACGAGAUGCGAAGGCACGUGCCUCCUUCCAGAUGGUAAUAAUUUUAUUUUCUUCGAUCGCGAAGGCCCCAUCACCACAAGCUAACAGCAUACAGACAUUCUAAUUCGAUAAUAGGACCGCGAUAACAUAGAUGAGGCCCGAAAAUUCAUCUUGGUAGAUUAUUCCUUGGUAAAAUUCUCCUUACAAAUCACACAAAAAUUCAAUUCUUCUGCUUUCAACUCUAUUAUUAUGAAGAGUAUAAUAUUACCUUAUAAUCAUAUUUGAAACGAUCGACAAGAAACAAUUGACACAAAUAUCAACAAACUAUUGUACUUAUUAUUGUCGAAAGAAAUACAUACCUAUUUAUUUACGCCUCCAACUUUCAACCAAGUCUCAUUACAAAUUCAGUAGACGUAUGAGGCUCCUUUGUUACACCCUGCUUGUUGUUAUCACAAUAUUCCUAAGCUUCGAAUCUUUAAAACCGGAUAAACCGUGCGAUCGCCAAGAGAAAACCAUACCAAGCGGAAAUAAAGUUUCCCGCGGAGAGAAAAAGAGAGAAAGUUUGCGGUCAGCCUCGUGGAAAGUUCGGUAGGAUAUAAAUCCGAAAGAAUCGGAAGGCAACGCAUCGUCGAGAAAAUUUACGUCCGCCGGAUGUGGCUCCAUCGAUCAGCAAAACAACCCGGGCAGAGUUACGAGCAGUCUACUGUCAAAACGACUUGGUCGGCUUGCCGAUGGCAAAAUUGCGAACGUAUGCAUACGAGGCCUCGUAAGUGAAGUCGUCCGGACUCCAUUAUCCCUGUCGUCCAUUGAUCCUGCACGGCAAAGUGCCAGGCCUGGCUUCAAGCAUAUCAUCGGGCAUGUACAUCAAGAUCCGUGCUUUCCUCCAUCAUGCCUAUUACCACACGUUAUUAUCAAGCCUGAACAGCUUUUAGUCUACACUCGCAUCCAAUUAUCAUUGCAUUUGACUGCCGUGUCUUUCCUGAGAGCUUUUUCAUUGAAAUUCGAUUUGCCUUGCGCAAUUCUCUUCGCUUUAUGGAUGUAUGGAAGAAUGAAGACGAUUAAAGCGAAGAAAUUUCUAAUUCUGCAAUGUGUGUUUUUAAAUAGCUUCUUUUAUAUGACCUAUUCGGGAUGUAUAACAUAGUAUAAUAUCGCUAUGGCUGUCAUCGACUUGGCCACACUUAGAGACUUCUUUAUUGCUUAUGACGCGUGACAUAAAACUGGCUGUGAUAUGUACAAUACCAGAGGCAAAUGGAUUUAUAUCUGCUUGCGGGCGAGCGGAACAAUAAGGUUUCCACGUCGCGCGAUCUCUUUCGUUCUCAAUCGAUCGUUCGAGAAUUAAUUUAUUUCUCUCACGUGUCCACGCGCACACGUGACGUUCGUGACACAUUUGAAACGGAUAUAAAUGUAUAAACCGGUGACUUACUAUUCUUUUACUUUCCCUGUUAUUCUGAGGAUAAGAGAUCGAGUUUAUUCAAAAAUCAAAUUUAUAUGCAGAAAUUAUUAUUUAAAAACUACGAAAUUAAAUUUAUGAUUUAAGUUAAUCUUAAAAUAACACACAAAAACAAAUAUUGCAACAUAAUUGAUAAAACACGACAGUAUUCUAAGAUAAGGCCACCCACGUGAGCUGCAUUAUAUGAAUUAAGGAGAGAGAGAAAAAUAAUCAAGAGUUAAUGCAUGAAAGCGAGGCAAUCGCGGGGAAAGGAGGGGAGCCAUAAAGACAUGAGUACCUCCAUCGACGUGUAUUCAACCAAUAGAUUUAGCGCACCAUGAACUUUUUGACGAGGUGCCCUUCGUAACUGUUAACGGCAGCCGUUAAGGCUUAUGACGGUCUUCCGAAAUCUCUAAACGAAGUAUCGAAAUCCAGUAGUGUAGCGAAAUGAAAGCGGGACGACCGAAACAACCGGAACUGGCCGGACACGUCGUUACGCGCGCGGCGUUUUAUUACAAAAUAUUAUCCCUGAGAGAGCGAAGUGACGAAGUAAUGGCGGCAGUCGUAGGGGUUUACUGACCCCGCAGGCGACGAUGUCGCCUCCUUCGUUUUCAUCAGGAGUAAGCCUCGAGAAUGUCUCGGCCGGCUUGAACAUUUCACCCUGCAGUUCUGCUUUAUCGUUCUGUGACAAAGUUCGCUUAUGCAAACGGGAAAGGGACCACGAAAGGUUGCGUUUCAAUUACGGUUGCUUCGAAACAGUGUAGGACGAGUGACGUCACAAACAGUCCAUUUAUAGAAUAAAAUGUCAUUAUUGUUCAGGAUUACGCGGUAUAAAGAAAGUGAUUAUUUAGAAGCGCCACAGAACAUACACGUACAUCCUUUCCAUACAAAAAUUUUUAUAAUUACGCGAUAAAUAGUAAAGAAAUUUUGAUAUAUUGUUAUUCUUGUUUUCAAAUAAUUCUUCCAAGAUUCUGUAAAGGCAAACAUCUGUUCCAAGAGACAAAAUAACGCAGGAAAUUUUACUUGAAAUGGCUUAAAAGGGUGUAUAAUAUUGUAUAUCAUAUUUAUCAAUAAAAUUGUACACGUGCCUUGGGGAGACCUGGAAGUUCCGCUUGAACUAUGCGUGCGUGAGCAGGGAAAAUAGAACAUGCUCGUCAGUUAAUGGCAAACUAAUUUUCGUAAAUAUCAGGAAAAUGUCAGAAGGGUGAAGUGUGGACUACUAGUAGUUAUCAUACUGCUAACAAUAAGUUAAUCCUGCCAUAUGGCUAAUAUCUAAUUAUUUGAAAUGCUCUCUUUUCUUAUUUGGCAAAUUUUCAGAUUGACUGCAGCAAACUUUCUUAGUUUUCUUCUAAUCCUUUCGGAAAUAUUGCACGGUUUUACGUAGCAAUAAUAACAAGUGUAAAUUCUAAUAAAGUCUGGAGAGAUUCAAAAGUUAAUUAAGAGUGAGUUUUACUUUUUAGUAGUUAAUUUAGAAUCGAAAAAGAUCAUAAAAUAUAGCGAUUUAUUGAAAUUUCCUGGUGAAAGAAAUUUUGUAUGAAUUUUCUCGAUUUUCCAGAAGAAUGACAACCCCUCUGUGUUUCUCCGCUUGCACGAGCGUUUUAUAUUAAUGGCGUAACAACAGGUGUCAUAUGUGUUUAUCCCUAACGUUCUACCGUUGCAUAACUCUAGAUCUAUCACUGCAUUAUUAAUCUUUUAAUGAAUAAAUAAUUUUUCUUA